rnacentral:rRNA from 1 species
GAUGAACGCUAGCGGGAGGCCUAACACAUGCAAGCCGAGCGGUAGAAAUCUUUCGGGAUUUUGAGAGCGGCGUACGGGUGCGUAACACGUGUGCAACCUGCCUUUAUCAGGGAGAUAGCCUUUCGAAAGGAAGAUUAAUAUCCCGUAACAUAUUAAGUGGCAUCAUUUGAUAUUGAAAGCUCCGGCGGAUAGAGAUGGGCACGCGCAAGAUUAGAUAGUUGGUGAGGUAACGGCUCACCAAGUCGACGAUCUUUAGGGGGUCUGAGAGGAUUAUCCCCCACACUGGUACUGAGACACGGACCAGACUCCUACGGGAGGCAGCAGUGAGGAAUAUUGGACAAUGGGUGAGAGCCUGAUCCAGCCAUCCCGCGUGAAGGAUGACGGUCCUAUGGAUUGUAAACUUCUUUUGUAUAGGGAUAAACCUAGUCUCGUGAGGCUAGCUGAAGGUACUAUACGAAUAAGCACCGGCUAACUCCGUG